GAAUAUUGGACAAUGGGCGAAAGCCUGAUCCAGCCCUGCCGCGUGUGUGAAGAAGGUCUUCGGAUUGUAAAGCACUUUAAGUUGGGAGGAAGGGCAGUAAGCGAAUACCUUGCUGAUUUGACGUUACCGACAGACCACGAACCGGCUAACACGGUGCCAGCAUCCGCGGUAAUACAGAGGGUGCAAGCGUUAAUCGGAAUUACGGGGCGUAAAGCGCGCGUAGGUGGGUCGUGAAGUUAGAUGUGAAACCCCCGGGCUCAACCUGGGAACUGCAUCCAAAACUGGCGAGCUAGAGUAGGGCAGAGGGUGGUGGAAUUUCCUGUGUAGCGGUGAAAUGCGUAGAUAUAAGAAGGAACACCAGUGGCGAAGGCGACCACCUGGGCUCAUACUGACACUGAGGUGCGAAAGCGUGGGGAGCAAACAG
rnacentral:rRNA from 1 species